GGGGUUAGUUAUGGUAUGUACACUCUAUAUAAAUUGAGGACAAAAAGAUCUAGAGGUUUUGCUCUAGUUCUAUUUGGAAAUUUAAAAUUUGGAUUUUCUUAGUCUCGAUGCAAAGUGAUACUUUGGUCAGAAAUCAUUUUGUGACUUUAGAGAAUUUGAUGAGUUAGAUCAGAGUGCGCAGCGGAAGUGUAGUGGUUUGACUAAUAUUUUGAAACUGGUUAAGAUCAUUAAUAUUUGAUCUAAAAGGCAUUAUGAUGAAAUACUUGAGUUAGUUUCAGGAGAAUGUUGUUGAUUCUAUGGAUGUUCUAAAGGUAGCUACGUAAUUCUCACCAGUGGAUUCUCCUAUUCUUUUGGGAGAAUCUUGGGCAUGUUAAAUUUAGCAUUUACGGAUGAUGAUUCUUUGGUUGGUCUUAGACUUGGAAUGUUUUAACAUGGAUCUCUUAUUUGUUGGAAUGAUGUGGGAGAAAAAAAAGAAAAUGAUUGUAGAAUAUUAAGAGCAUUUGAUA
rnacentral:lncRNA from 1 species